GGUAAAGGAAGAUUUCAAACUGGCCAGCCAUUACGAAAGGAACUUUUCCAGGAAGAAAACAGUGCAUUAAGAGACAUUGUGAAAAGUAGUUCUUAGAAGAAUCCUGGGAAGCUUUUCAUUUUUUAAAUUUAAUUUUUAAAAGGAUCUAUUCAUUUAAUUUUUUUUAGAGAGAAAGAGCACAGUUGGGAGAAAGGAAAGGGAGAGAGAAUCUCAAGCAGACUCCCUGCUGAGUACAGAGCUCGACAUUGGGCUUAAUGUGGAGCUUGAUCUCAUGAGGUCCUGAAGUCAUGAUCUGAGCUGAAAUGAAAAGUCACAUGCUUAACUGAGUGAGCCACCUAGGUAUCCUCUGGGAAGCCUUUAAUUCAGGGCUUGAGGGUAGUUAAAUAGAAGUUCUUAGACCUGAGUUGAGAUCAAAAUUUGAUUUUUUUAGGCAUGAAGGGCACUGAGGAAAAGAAUUCUAUUCUCAACACUGAAGGGAAUUAAAUGUGGAAAAUAAGAGUGAAGAGUAGUGCUAGUGUUGACCCAUUGGAGGAUAAUGCACAAAAAUCAAACCAGAAUGGAAAGGUUUUUUUUCUCAACUAGUAUAUAUCUACAACCAAUGAUAAGAUGAUGUAAGAUAGCAUAUUAUUUAUUGUGAAGAUGUGAUAAAACUGGUAAAAUGUAUGACAUCAAGAAACAUCUUAGGAAGCUCUGUUCUUUAACUUGACUUCUUCUAUCUCUGGGAAUGAGUGAAUAAGGAUUUAGAGAGAGGAUCGUUCUGGUCUAUAGAGAAUCAUUUCCUUUCUCAUAGGUAACAUUUAGUAGGCAAGUAUUUAAAGAUAUAUACUUAUUAGAU
rnacentral:lncRNA from 1 species